CGGUAGCAGGAAGUGCUUGCACUUUGCUGACGAGUGGCGGACGGGUGAGUAAUACUUAGGAACAUGCCUUUGUGUGGGGGAUAACCAUUGGAAACGAUGGCUAAUACCGCAUAAUGUCUUUGGACCAAAGAGGGCUUUCGGGCUCUCGCGCAAAGAGUGGCCUAAGUGAGAUUAGCUUGUUGGUGAGGUAAAGGCUCACCAAGGCGACGAUCUCUAGCUGUUCUGAGAGGAAGAUCAGCCACACUGGGACUGAGACACGGCCCAGACUCCUACGGGAGGCAGCAGUGGGGAAUAUUGCACAAUGGGGGCAACCCUGAUGCAGCCAUGCCGCGUGUGUGAAGAAGGCCUUCGGGUUGUAAAGCACUUUCAGUUGUGAGGAAAGGUUGAUGGUUAAUACCCAUCAGCUGUGACGUUAGCAACAGAAGAAGGACCGGCUAACUCCGUGCCAGCAGCCGCGGUAAUACGGAGGGUGCGAGCGUUAAUCGGAAUUACUGGGCGUAAAGCGCACGCAGGCGGUUAGAUAAGCUAGAUGUGAAAGCCCCGGGCUCAACCUGGGAAUAGCAUUUAGAACUGUAUGACUAGAGUCUUGGAGAGGGGAGUGGAAUUCCUGGUGUAGCG
rnacentral:rRNA from 1 species